rnacentral:rRNA from 1 species
GACGAACGCUGGCGGCGUGCUUAACACAUGCAAGUCGAGCGGCGCGGAGAACGGGUGAGUAACGCGUGAGUAACUGCCCCCCUCUCUGGGAUAACAGUUGGAAACGGCUGCUAAUACCGGAUAGUGGGGGAUGAAUCGCGGCCUAUCGGCUUGUUGGUGGGGUAGUGGACUACCAAGGCGACGACGGGUCGCCGGCCUGGGAGGGGGACCGGCCACAAUGGGCUGCGGUACGGCCCAAAGUCCAACGGGGGGCAACGGUGGGGAAUAUUGCACAGUGGGGGAAACCCUGAGGCAGCAACGCCGCGUGCGUGAUGACGGCCUUCGGGUGGUAAACCGCUUUCAGCCAUGACGCGGUAGUGGCAGAAGAAGCACCGGCUAACUACGUGCCAGCAGCCGCGGUAAUAC